UGAGAGAUGGCUCAGUGGUUAAGAGCACUGACUGUUCUUCCAGAGGUCCUGAGUUCAAUUCCCAGUCAACCAC
rnacentral:tRNA from 2 species